rnacentral:rRNA from 1 species
UAUUCGGUGAAAGUUUAUAUUUUAUUUAAAAUUUUACCUUAUAGGGGAUAAAUUAUUUUUCUAAUAGUUAGUAUUAUACAAAAUAUGCUAUAGAGAUUAAGGACAAAGUUUGUGCCAGCCAUCGCGGUUAUACUCUAUUUAAUUAAUCUUAUUAUUUCUAAAGAUUUUUACAGGUCUUUUUGUUUUAACGUGAAAUUUUCAAAUCUUUUUAAUUUUUAUAAGAUUAGUAAUUAUAGUAAAAACUAGGAUUAGAAACCCUAUUAUUCUAAGUUUGGUUUAAAGCGUUAAAUUAUUAUCUUUAAACUUAAUUGUUCUGGCGGUUCACCACUCUAACAGAGGAGUUUGUCAAUUAUGUUUGAUAACCCGCCUUUAGUUUCACCAUUGUUUAUUUUAUGUACGGCUGUUAAGCUUUAACAUAUAGCUUAUUGCUUUAUCCUUUAAUGUUUUAGUUCAGGUCAAUGUGUAGACUAUGUUGUGGUUUUAAUGAGUUACUUUUUUGACUAAAAUUAGUUUUAUUUGAAAUUGGAUUUGUUAGUAAAUCAUGAAUAGAACUUCUUCUUGAUGUAGAUUUUUGGUGUAAGUACAUAUCGCCCAGGUCUCUUUUGAUAGAUAAGUCGUAACAUAGUAAGAUAUACAGGAAGGUGUUUCUUGUUU